rnacentral:tRNA from 1 species
AAAGUAUGUUGGACAAAUGAAAGCUGCUAACUUAUCAUUUUAGCGGUUAAAUUCCGUUAAUACUUUU